rnacentral:rRNA from 1 species
AGAGUUUGAUCCGGCUCAGGAUGAACGCUGGCGGCGUGCUUAACACAUGCAAGUCGAACGGGGUACCCAUGACAGAGGCUUCGGCCAAUUGAUUGGAAUACCUAGUGGCGGACGGGUGAGUAACGCGUGAGCAAUCUGCCUUGGAGUGGGGAAUAACAGUUGGAAACAGCUGCUAAUACCGCAUAAUACAGUUGUGUCGCAUGGCACUGACUGUCAAAGAUUUAUCGCUCUGAGAUGAGCUCGCGUCUGAUUAGCUAGUUGGUGAGGUAACGGCUCACCAAGGCGACGAUCAGUAGCCGGACUGAGAGGUUGGCCGGCCACAUUGGGACUGAGACACGGCCCAGACUCCUACGGGAGGCAGCAGUGGGGAAUAUUGGGCAAUGGGCGCAAGCCUGACCCAGCAACGCCGCGUGAAGGAAGAAGGCUUUCGGGUUGUAAACUUCUUUUCUGAGGGACGAUAGUGACGGUACCUCAGGAAUAAGCCACGGCUAACUACGUGCCAGCAGCCGCGGUAAUACGUAGGUGGCAAGCGUUAUCCGGAUUUACUGGGUGUAAAGGGCGUGUANGCGGGAUGGUAAGUCAGAUGUGAAAACUAUGGGCUCAACCCAUAGCCUGCAUUUGAAACUAUCGUUCUUGAGUGUUGGAGAGGCAGGCGGA